GGAGAGGCCCCAUCCUGCAUAAGGAAAGUCCAUUUCAUUAUUUUAAACACUGCUCUGGCCAGACAGCUUACCUUCUAUUUUUGUCCAAAGAUUAGUGCCCUCUAAUAGGAGUUUUAGCCAGAAUAAAACAUUUCUCUGAGUUAAAAGUGAAUAUUGAGUUCUCAUCGUUUACUUUUUAGAACUAUUUGGCCUUUGUCUUAGUCCAUUUUGCUGCUAUAACAAAAUACCACAGACUGGGUAAUUUAUAAAUAAUAGAGAUUUAUUUCUCUCAAUUCUGGAGGUUAGGAAGUCCAAGAUCAAGGCACCGGCAGAUUUGGUGUCUGGCGAGAAUGGCUCUCUGCUCCCAAGACAGUCUUGUUGCUGUGUCCUCACAUGUCAGAAGAGAUGGAAAGACCAGGCAGCUAUCUAAGCACUCCAAGGGUAUUAAUUUCACCCACACUUCAGUUCCUGCCCAUGAAGGGGUGAGGGAAAAAUCCUGCUUCAUUUUUAACUAUUAGGCAAAUGCAAAUUCAGAGCCCAGUGAAGUACUGCUAUGUACAAUUUAGAUUUGCUAAAAGUCAAAAGCUGAUUGUACACAAUGUUGGCCAAGACAUAGAGGGAUGGGUACAAUGGGCACAAGGACACUUUUGGGGUGAUGGCUGUGUUCUUUAUCUCAAUUGUGGUGAUAGUUUCACAGGUGUUUAUGUAUGUCAAAACUCAUCAAAUUGUACAAUUUCAACAUGUACUGCUUAUUGUACUGCAUGAUGUACUGCUUAUUGUACAUCAGUUAUACCUCAGUAAGGGUGUAAGAUGGUGUAUAGGAUUUUGUAGCAUACAAAGAAUGUUCACAUUUUUCAUUUCAAACUAUUAACACUUGUCUUCAGCAGGUGUUGUUCACAUGGUAAACAUGAAACAAAACAAGGCUGAGAUACAAAAGAGAUUUGGUGACUCGCCAAAAAACGUGUCCAGGCUGGAAACCACUGCUUCUUC
rnacentral:lncRNA from 10 species